UACGGGGGGAGCAAGCGUUGUUCGGAUUUACUGGGCGUAAAGGGCGCGUAGGCGGCGCAACAAGUCACUUGUGAAAUCUCCGGGCUUAACCCGGAGCGGCCAAGUGAUACUGUCGUGCUAGAGUGCGGAAGGGGCUACUGGAAUUCUCGGUGUAGCGGUGAAAUGCGUAGAUAUCGAGAGGAACACCUGCGGCGAAGGCGGGUAGCUGGGCCGACACUGACGCUGAGGUACGAAGGCAUGGGUAUCGAUCGGG
rnacentral:rRNA from 1 species